rnacentral:lncRNA from 1 species
UGCUAAUUAUUUAUUUUCGAAGAUCAGAAGACAGAAGGCAUAUUUUGACGGCAGAAGUGAAAAAACAUCAGACGAUAAGCAAAAGGACGAAAAGGGGCAGUGAUUUGGUGAUUUGUGGAGCGCAUACGAAGCGGGAUUGAAGAAUCGAAGGCGCAGGAUCGCAUCUAGAAGAAACACACAAUACGGCUAAACUUAUCGCUACCUAGGUUAGAUGAACUUUGAUUCGGUUGAGUUAAUUGCACGUUUGAUCAAAUGGUUCGUACAUUCUUUCGCAAGUUAAUAGCGAUGAUGAUCUUGAUGAGGAUAUCGAAGAACAAUCUACUCGCAGACGUCGUAAAUUUAUUCGACGCAAUCAUAUUUAGGGACAUGAGAGUUUAUAUCGUGAUUAUAUUUCAGAAAAUCCGGUAUAUCCCUCGAAUCUAUUUCGACGGAGUUUCGGAUGAGUCAUCCUCUAUUUCUCCGUAUUCUAAAUGAGGUAGUGGCUAACGAGCCAUACUUCGUCCAAAGAGAGAUAAUAUUGGAAGACUCGGUGUAUCUUCUAUGCAAAAGAUAACAGCGACACUUAGAAUGUUGGCCUAUGGGGUUAGUGCUGAUUUUAUGGAUAUAUACAUAUGCAUCGGUGAAAGCACUGCAAUGGAGAGUCUCAAGAAACUAUGAGACGAUAGUAAGUAUUUUUUCAGUUGAAUAUCUACGGUCACCAAACUCCAAUGAUAUUACUAGAUUACUUGUUGUUGCGGACCAACGAAGAUUCCCUGGAAUGCUCAGAAGCAUUGACGGCAUGCAUUGGAAGUGAAAAAAUUGUCCCACAGCCUGGAAAGGUAUGUACUCUGGCCACAUUCGUGAACCUACUAUUAUU